AGAAUUUGAUCUUGGUUCAGAUUGAAUGCUGACGGCGUGGAUGAGGCAUGCAAGUCGAACGGAGUGUAGCAAUACACUUAGUGGCGGAAGGGUUAGUAAGGCAUGGGUAACUUGCCUUUAACACUGGGAUAACGGUUGGAAACGAUCGCUAAUACCGGAUGAGGUUAGUGCAAGGCAUCUUGUAUUAAUCAAAGUGGGGGAUAGUAAUACCUCGCAGUUAGAGAGAGGCCCAUGUGAUAUCAGCUAGUUGGUGAGGUAAAGGCUCACCAAGGCUAAGACGUCUAGGCGGAUUGAGAGAUUGACCGCCAACACUGGGACUGAGACACUGCCCAGACUCCUACGGGAGGCUGCAGUCGAGAAUCUUUCGCAAUGGGCGCAAGCCUGACGAAGCGACGCCGUGUGAACGAAGAAGGCCUUCGGGUUGUAAAGUUCUUUCGCUAGGGAACAAGAGAGACGGGACAAUACCCCGUCGAUUUGAUGGUACUUGGUAAAGAAGCACCGGCUAACUCCGUGCCAGCAGCUGCGGUAAUACGGAGGGUGCAAGCAUUGAUCGGAAUUACUGGGCGUAAAGGGCGCGUAGGCGGCCGAAAAAGUCGGAUGUGAAAUUCCGGGGCUCAACCCCGGAGCUGCAUUUGAAACUUUUCGGCUAGAGGACAGAUAGGGUAAACGGAAUUCCACGUGUAGCGGUGAAAUGCGUAGAUAUGUGGAAGAACACCGGUGGUGAAGACGGUUUUCUGGGCCAAACCUGACGCUGAGGCGCGAAAGCUAGGGGAGCAAACAGGAUUAGAUACCCUGGUAGUCCUAGCCUUAAACGAUGCAUACUAGGUGUAGGUGGGCUCAACCCCAUCUGUAUCGGAGCUAACGCAUUAAGUAUGCCGCCUGGGGAGUACGCUCGCAAGGGUGAAACUCAAAAGAAUUGACGGGGGCCCGCACAAGCAGUGGAGCAUGUGGUUUAAUUCGAUGCAACGCGAAGAACCUUACCUGGGCUCGAAAUGUAGAGGACGACCGCAGAGAUGUGGUUUCUCGAAAGGGUCUCUAUAUAGGUGCUGCAUGGCUGUCGUCAGCUCGUGCCGUGAGGUGUUUGGUUAAGUCCACUAACGAGCGCAACCCUUAGCCCCGGUUACACGUGUCUGGGGCGACUGCCGGUAUUAAGCCGGAGGAAGGUGGGGAUGACGUCAAGUCCGCAUGUCCUUUAUCCCCUGGGCGACACACACGCUACAAUGGCCAGCACAAUGGGUCGCCAAGCCGUGAGGCGGAGCCAAUCCUAAAAAGCUGGUCUCAGUUCGGAUUGCAGGCUGCAACCCGCCUGCAUGAAGUCGGAGUUGCUAGUAACCGCAGGACAGCGAUACUGCGGUGAAUACGUUCCCGGGUCUUGUACACACCGCCCGUCACGUCAUGGGAGCUGGCAACACCUGAAGCCGGUGGGCGAACCGCAAGGACGCAGCCGUCCAAGGUGGGGUCGGUGACUGGGACGAAGUCGUAACAAGGUAGCUGUAGCGGAAGCUGCGGCUG
rnacentral:rRNA from 1 species